rnacentral:rRNA from 1 species
UGGGGAAGUAUUGCACAAUGGGGGAAACCCGUGAUGCAGCGACGCCGCGUGGAGGAAGAAGGUCUUCGGAUUGUAAACUCCUGUCGUUGAGGACGAUAAUGACGGUACUCAACAAGAAAGCCACGGCUAACUACGUGCCAGCAGCCGCGGUAAAACGUAGGUGGCAAGCGUUGUCCGGAAUUACUGGGUGUAAAGGGAGCGCAGGCGGAAGCGCAAGUUGGAUGUGAAACCCAUGGGCUCAACCCAUGGCCUGCAUCCAAAACUGUGUUUCUUGAGUAGUGCAGAGGUAGGCGGAAUUCCCGGUGUAGCGGUGGAAUGCGUAGAUAUCGGGAGGAACACCAGUGGCGAAGGCGGCCUACUGGGCACCAACUGACGCUGAGGCUCGAAAGCAUGGGUAGCAAACAGGAUUAGAUACCCCCGU